CCUCGUUGAUCCUGCCAGUAGUCAUAUGCUUGCCUCAAAGAUUAAGCCAUGCAUGUGUAAGUAUGAACUAGUUCAGAUUAUGAAACUACGAAUGCCUCAUUAAAUCAGUUAUAGUUUGUUUGAUGGUAUCUGCUACUUGGAUAACUGUAGUAUUUCUAGAGCUAAUACAAUCAACAAACACCAACUUUUGGAAGGGAUGCAUUUAUUAAAUAAAAGGUCGACGCGGGCUCUGUUACUCUGACGAUUCAUAAUAACUCGAUGGAUCGCACGGGCAUCGUGCUGACGACGCAUCAUUCCAAUUUCUUCCCUAUCAACUUUCGAUGGCAGGAUAGUGGCCUACUUUGGUCGUGCUGGGUGAUGGGUGAUGUUGAGGGUUCGAUUCCGGUAGGGAGCCUGAGAAACGACUACCACAUCCAAGGAAGGUAGCAUGCGCGUAAAUUACCCAAUCUUGACACGGGGAGGUAGUGACAAUAAAUAAUAAUACCGGGCUCUUAGAGUCUGGUAAUUGGAAUGAGUACAAUCUAAGUCCCUUAACGAGGAUCCAUUGGUGGGCAAGUCUGGUGCCAGCAGCCACGGUAAUUCCAGCUCAAAUAGCGUAUAUUUAAGUUGUUGCAGUUACAAAUCUUAUAGUUGGACCUUGGGUUGGCUCAAUCGGUCCACCUAUGAUGUGCACCAGUUGGCUCAUCCCUUCGAUCGGCGAUGCGCUCCUGGCCUUAAGUGGCUAGGUCUUUCCUUCACUAUUGUUACUUUGAAGAAAUUAGAGUGCUCAAAGUAAGCCUACAAUUUGUAUACAUUAGCAUGGGAUAACAUCAUAGGAUUUUGAUCCUAUUUUGUUGGCCUUCAAGGUCGGAGUAAUGAUUAAUAGGGACAGUUAGGGGCAUUCGUAUUUCAUAGUCAAAGGUGAAAUUCUUGAAUUUAUGAAAGACGAUCAACUACGAAAACGUUUACAAAUGAUUUUUUCAUUAAUCAAGAAUGAAAGUUGAGGGCUCGAAGACGAUCAGAUACCGUCCUAGUCACAACAAUAAACGAUGCUGACCAGUGAUCGGUGGAUGUUACUUUUAGAACACCGCUAGCACCUUAUGAAAAAUCGAAGUCUUUAGGUCCCGGGGGGAGUAUGGUCGCAUGGCUGAAACUUAAAAGAAUUGAUGGAAUGGCACCACCAGGAGUGGAGCUUGCUGCUUAAUUUGACUCAACAUGGGAAAACUUACCAGGUCCUGACAUAGUAAGGCUUGACAGACUGAGGCUCUUUCUUGAUUCUAUGGGUGGUGGUGCAUGGCCGUUCUUAUUGGUGGAGCGAUUUAUCUGGUGAAUUUUGUUAACGAACGAGACCUCAGCCUGCUAACUAGCUAUGCGGAGGUGACCCACCGCAGUCAUCUUCUUAGAGGGACUAUGGCCGCUUAGGCCGAGGAAGUUUGAGUCAAUAACAGGUCCGUGAUGCCCAUAGAUUUUCUGGGUCGCACGCGCGCUACAAUGAUGUAUUCAAUGAGUAUAUAACCCUCGCCGACAGGCCCGGGAAAUCUUUAAAAUUUCAUCGUGAUAGGGAUAGAUCAUUGCAAUUGUUUGUCUUCAACGAGGAAUUCCUAGUAAGUGCAAGUCAUCAACUCACGUUGACUACGUCCCUGCCCUUUGUACACACCGCCUGAUGCUCCUACCGAUUGAAUUGUUCGGUGAAGUGAUCGUAUCGCGGUGACGUGAGAGGUUCGCUGCCCGCGAUGUCGUGAGAAGUCCAUUGAACGUGAUCAUUUAGAGGAAGGAGAAGUCGUAUCAAGGUUUUCGUAGGUGAACCUGCGGAAG
rnacentral:rRNA from 1 species